rnacentral:rRNA from 1 species
UGAACGCUGGCGGCAGGCUUAACACAUGCAAGUCGAGCGGAGAGAGGUAGCUUGCUACUGAUCUUAGCGGCGGACGGGUGAGUAAUGCUUAGGAAUCUGCCUAUUAGUGGGGGACAACAUCUCGAAAGGGAUGCUAAUACCGCAUACGUCCUACGGGAGAAAGCAGGGGAUCUUCGGACCUUGCGCUAAUAGAUGAGCCUAAGUCGGAUUAGCUAGUUGGUGGGGUAAAGGCCUACCAAGGCGACGAUCUGUAGCGGGUCUGAGAGGAUGAUCCGCCACACUGGGACUGAGACACGGCCCAGACUCCUACGGGAGGCAGCAGUGGGGAAUAUUGGACAAUGGGGGGAACCCUGAUCCAGCCAUGCCGCGUGUGUGAAGAAGGCCUUAUGGUUGUAAAGCACUUUAAGCGAGGAGGAGGCUACUUUAGUUAAUACCUAGAGAUAGUGGACGUUACUCGCAGAAUAAGCACCGGCUAACUCUGUGCCAGCAGCCGCGGUAAUACAGAGGGUGCAAGCGUUAAUCGGAUUUACUGGGCGUAAAGCGCGCGUAGGCGGCUAAUUAAGUCAAAUGUGAAAUCCCCGAGCUUAACUUGGGAAUUGCAUUCGAUACUGGUUAGCUAGAGUGUGGGAGAG